UGGGGAAUCUUGGACAAUGGGGGCAACCCUGAUCCAGCCAUGCCGCGUGAGUGAUGAAGGCCUUAGGGUCGUAAAGCUCUUUCGCCUGUGAAGAUAAUGACGGUAGCAGGUAAAGAAACCCCGGCUAACUCCGUGCCAGCAGCCGCGGUAAUACGGAGGGGGUUAGCGUUGUUCGGAAUUACUGGGCGUAAAGCGCGCGUAGGCGGACUGAUCAGUCAGGGGUGAAAUCCCGGGGCUCAACCCCGGAACUGCCUUUGAUACUGUCAGUCUUGAGUCCGGAAGAGGCGAGUGGAAUACCGAGUGUAGAGGUGAAAUUCGUAGAUAUUCGGUGGAACACCAGUGGCGAAGGCGACUCGCUGGUCCGGUACUGACGCUGAGGUGCGAAAGCGUGGGGAGCAAACAGGAUUCAGAUACCCUGGUAGUCCACGCCGUAAACGAUGAGUGCUAGUCGUCGGCAGGCAUGCCUGUCGGUGACGCAGCUAACGCAUU
rnacentral:rRNA from 1 species